CGGCGGACGGGUGAGUAACGCGUGAGAAUCUGCCUUCAGGACGGAGACAACAGUUGGAAACGACUGCUAAGCCCCGAUGAACCGAAAGGGAAAAUAUUUAUAGCCUGAAGAUGAGCUCGCGUCCGAUUAGCUAGUUGGCGGAGUAAAAGCCCACCAAGGCGACGAUCGGUAGCUGGUCUGAGAGGACGAUCAGCCACACUGGGACUGAGACACGGCCCAG
rnacentral:rRNA from 1 species